GUGCCAGCAGCCGCGGUAAUUCCAGCUCCAAUAGCGUAUAUUAAAGUUGUUGUGGUUAAAAAGCUCGUAGUUGAACCUUGGGCCUGGCUGGCCGGUCCGCCUCACCGCGUGCACUGGUCCGGCCGGGCCUUUCCCUCUGUGGAACCCCAUACCCUUCACUGGGCGUGGCGGGGAAACAGGACAUUUACUUUGAAAAAAUUAGAGUGCUCCAGGCAGGCCUAUGCUCGAAUACAUUAGCAUGGAAUAAUAAAAUAGGACGCGCGGUUCUAUUUUGUUGGUUUAUAGGACCGCCGUAAUGAUUAAUAGGGACAGUCGGGGGCAUCAGUAUUCAACUGUCAGAGGUGAAAUUCUUGGAUCAGUUGAAGACUAACUACUGCGAAAGCAUUUGCCAAGGAUGUUUUCAUUAAUCAGGAAUGAAAGUUAGGGGAUCGAAGACGAUCAGAUACCGUCGUAGUCUUAACCAUAAACUAUGCCGACUAGGGAUCGGACGGUGUUAUUCAUGACCCGUUCGGCACCUUACGAGAAAUCAAAGUGCUUGGGCUCCAGGGGGAGUAUGGUCGCAAGGCUGAAACUUAAAGAAAUUGACGGAAGGGCACCACCAGGGGUGGAGCCUGCGGCUUAAUUUGACUCAACACGGGGAAACUCACCAGGUCCAGACACAAUAAGGAUUGACAGAUUGAGAGCUCUUUCUUGAUUUGUGGGUGGUGGUUGCAUGGCCGUUCUUAGUUGUGGGGUGACUUGUCUGCUUAAGUGCGAUACGAACGAGACCUUAACCUGCUGAAUAGCCCGCAUUGCUCCGGCAGUGCGGCUGGGCUUCUUAGAGGGACUUUCC
rnacentral:rRNA from 1 species